GCGAAAACUUUGCAAUGCGGGAAACCGUGACAAGGGAACUCCGAGUGCCCGUAAAUUCGGGCUGUCCGCCAGUUUAAACAACUGGUGAAGAAAGGGCCGGGCAAGACCGGUGCCAGCCGCCGCGGUAAUACCGGCGGCUCGAGUGGUGGCCACUAUUACUGGGCUUAAAGCGUUCGUAGCUGGCUUGUUAAGUCUCUGGGGAAAUCUUCCGGCUUAACCGGAAGGCGUCUCAGGGAUACUGGCAGGCUAGGGACCGGUAGAGGUGAGGGGUACUCCAGGGGUAGGAGUGAAAUCCUGUAAUCCUUGGGGGACCACCUGUGGCGAAGGCGUCCAACUGGAACGGGUCUGACGGUGAGGGACGAAACCUAGGGGAGCGAGCC
rnacentral:rRNA from 1 species